GGGCUUGACAUCCCACGAACCUGCCUGAAAGGGCGGGGUGCCCGCAAGGGAGCGUGGAGACAGGUGGUGCAUGGCUGUCGUCAGCUCGUGUCGUGAGAUGUUGGGUUAAGUCCCGCAACGAGCGCAACCCUCACCCCUAGUUGCCACCGGGUAAAGCCGAGCACUCGAGGGGAACUGCCAGCGUCAAGCUGGAGGAAGGCGGGGAUGACGUCAAGUCAUCAUGCCCCUUACGCCCUGGGCUACACACGUGCUACAAUGGCCGGUACAAAGGGACGCGAGACCGCAAGGUGGAGCUAAUCCCAAAAAACCAGUCUAAGUUCAGAUUGCAGUCUGCAACUCGACUGCAUGAAGGAGGAAUCGCUAGUAAUCGCGCAUCAGCACGGCGCGGUGAAUACGUUCCCGGGCCUUGUACACACCGCCCGUCACACCACGAAAGCUGUCUGUACUCGAAGUCGCUGAG
rnacentral:rRNA from 1 species